GCGUCCCCACCCUCGCGACGCUCGUCCGCACCGCACUCACCCGCCGCGCGUGACGCCGCGCGGUGGCCAGCCUCCCGAUUCGCAAAGCCUCCCUCAGCCUCCCGAUUCGAAAAGCCUCCGCCUCCCUUCCACCCUCCGCCGCCGCGCGCCAACCCCUACGAGCUCCAGCGCCAGCUCGUCGCCGCCGCCUCCGCCGCCGACUCCGCAUCUGGCGUCCAGUCCUCCUUCUCCAUCCGUCGAGGACGGAUGCGCCAACAUCCGCGGCGGCCUAGACGAGGCCGAUGCCACAGGAACGCGGUCGCCAGCGUCAUCCUCUUCUCGGACGGCCAGGACAACAGCAGCGGUGGCGGCGGCUUCUUCCACGGCCCUCGUAGCUUGUUGGACGCGGCAGAGAUUCGGCCGAGGCGAAGUCUGAUGUGGCGGCCGGCGCUCUGGACACGGCAGCGGGAACCACGAUUCGGCGGCCGGUGGGGCUAGACGAGGCAGCGGUGAGCUCGAUUCGGACAUGGCGGAGCUCGAUUCGGAGGCAACGAGGAACCCACGUCAAGAUGGCCGUCCGGUUCUGCUGAUCCGUGUCAUUUUUUAGUUCGCUGGACUGCCUGGUAUCACUAUCAACCAUCGCUGAUACUUCCUCAAAUGCUGCAGACACUGAGCCAAAAAAAAAGCAAGAAAAGGAAAAUCACUAAAAGAAUCUGGAACUCUAUGGCAACAGCAAUCAGAAUAUUGAAAAUCUUCACCCUUGAAUGGCCAUGGAUCAAUGGCAAGCACGAUCAGCAAGAGUACUCCAACGCAGCUGUGGGCCAGCAUGGCAGGCGCCAGUGACAAAGAUAUAGUAUAGUAGCAGGGAGAGAUUUUGCAGUUCUGUAAGCCAAUAGAGUAUAGCUAGUUCUUGUGCAGGUGCUUAUAAUUGUCAAAAUGCAAUUGUAAAAAGAUACUGAAAAUGGUACCAUUUGGUACAAUGUUAUAUAGUCAAUGGAUGCUUGUGCUGACAA